rnacentral:rRNA from 1 species
GAUGAACGCUGGCGGCGUGCCUAAUACAUGCAAGUCGAGCGAACGGACCAGAAGCUUUCUUCUCUGAUGUUAUCGGCGGACGGGUCAUUAACACGUGGAUAACCUACCUCUCCGACUGGGAUACCUUCGGGAAACCGUGUCUACUACCGGAUAAUAUUUUGCACCGCAUGGUUCAAACGUGAAAGACGGUCUUUCUGUCACUUAUAGAUGAAUCCGCGCUGCAUUAGCUAGUUGGUAAGGUAGCGGCUUAACAACGCAACGAUGCAUAGCCGACCUGAGAGGGUGAUCGGACACACGGGAAGUGAGAAAGGGUAGAGACACUGAGGGGAGGAAGCAGUAGGGAAUCUUACGCAAUGGGCGAAAGCGGGACGGAGCAACGCGGCGUGAGUGAUGAAGGAGUUCGGAUGGGAAAACGAUGUAAUUAGGGAAGAAGAUAUGUGUAAGUAACUGGGAAGAUAAUGACGGUACCGAAUCAGAAAGCCACGGCUAACUACGUG